rnacentral:rRNA from 1 species
UACGGAGGAUCCAAGCGUUAUCCGGAUUUAUUGGGUUUAAAGGGUGCGUAGGCGGCUUAUUAAGUCAGGGGUGAAAGACGGUGGCUCAACCAUCGCAGUGCCUUUGAUACUGAUGAGCUUGAAUACACUUGAGGUAGGCGGAAUGUGACAAGUAGCGGUGAAAUGCAUAGAUAUGUCACAGAACACCAAUUGCGAAGGCAGCUUACUAAAGUGCAAUUGACGCUGAGGCACGAAAGCGUGGGGAUCAAACAGG